GGUUGGCCUGAGUGCAGUGGUGUUUACAACUAUUUGAUCACAACGAGUUACAGAUUCCUUUGUUCCUUCUCCACUCCCACUGCUCCACUUGACCAGCCUUAA
rnacentral:Y_RNA from 1 species